CUAAGUUGAAUGUUUAUGCCGAAGAUAUUCAACGUCAUAAACAUCUAAGUUGAAUGUUUAUGACGUUGAAUAUCAACGUCAUAAACAUCUAAG